GUGAACGCUGGCGGUAGGCCUAACACAUGCAAGUCGAACGGCAGCACAGUAAGAGCUUGCUCUUACGGGUGGCGAGUGGCGGACGGGUGAGGAAUACAUCGGAAUCUACUUUUUCGUGGGGGAUAACGUAGGGAAACUUACGCUAAUACCGCAUACGACCUACGGGUGAAAGCAGGAGAUCUUCGGACCUUGCGCGAUUGAAUGAGCCGAUGUCGGAUUAGCUAGUUGGCGGGGUAAAGGCCCACCAAGGCGACGAUCCGUAGCUGGUCUGAGAGGAUGAUCAGCCACACUGGAACUGAGACACGGUCCAGACUCCUACCGGAGGCAGCAGUGGGGAAUAUUGGACAAUGGGCGCAAGUCUGAUCCAGCCAUACCGCGUGGGUGAAGAAGGCCUUCGGGUUGUAAAGCCCUUUUGUUGGGAAAGAAAAGCAGCAGGUUAAUACCCCGCUGUUCUGACGGUACCCAAAGAAUAAGCACCGGCUAACUUCGUG
rnacentral:rRNA from 1 species